rnacentral:rRNA from 1 species
UCCUUAGAUGUCCUGGGCCGCACGCGCGCUACACUGAACGGAUCAGCGCGUUUUCCCUUCCCGAGAGGGACGGGUAACCUGCUGAACCCCGUUCGUGGUAGGGAUCGGGGCUUGCAAUUAUUCCCCGUGAACCAGGAAUGCCCAGUAAGUGCAAGUCAUAAGCUUGCGUUGAUUACGUCCCUGCCCUUUGUACACACCGCCCGUCGCUACUACCGAUUGAACGUUUUAGUGAGGUACUCGGACUGAGCCUCAGAAGAUUCACGUCUUUUGUGCUGCUCGGGAAGAUUCCCAAACUUGAGCGUUUAGAGGAAGUAAAAGUCGUAACA